CGUAUCCGAUGAGAUGAAGUCAAGUUUCGCGCCGGAAGAUAACGGCUGCGAGUAAAAAUUGCGAUUUCAGCAUUGGAGAUCCUCUAAGUCCUACUUAUCACCAAUCAAUUACCUCAAAUGAAAAGUUACCUCGCCAUUAUUGCUCAAAAAGACUGGAAGGAGUCCUGUUGAGGAUUUAGAUUCCUCCUCUUUUGAAAAGUGCAACCGAUUGAAGUUAUAAAGGGCUCUGGGGUGUUUUGCCAGGCAGAAGUGUGGAAAGCAGCCCUCCUUGCCACCUCUGCUACUGCCAUGUGGAAUCUGCUGCUGGGCACAUUUGAUCUGGAGACUUUGCUGAAAAACAACCUGAAUGGUGGGAAGCCAACCAGAGGGGAUGGGGAGCAGCUGGUCGCCCUUGACCAAAUUAAAAAGGCAUCAUUAUUGAUGCUACAUUGAAGAAGUGUCCGUCAGCCAGCCGAGGGGAGGUGGGCACGUCUAUCAAUUCAAAGCUCAUGGAGCUGAGAAGAUCAAAAAGAUUUUUUUUCUAUCCAGUUUUUUUGUCUUAUUUUUGUUUUUGUACUAUUUGAUCUUAAGUAAAUAAAUAA